rnacentral:rRNA from 1 species
GCCUAUGGCCAUACCACCCUGAACAUGCCUGAUCUCAUCAGCUAAGCAGGGUCUGGCCUGGUUAGUACUUGGAUGGGAGACCACUUGGGAAUACUGGGUGCUGUAGGCU